CCUACGGGAGGCAGCAGUAGGGGAUCUUCGGCAAUGGGGGCAACCCUGACCGAGCAACGCCGCGUGAGUGAAGAAGGUUUUCGGAUCGUAAAGCUCUGUUGUAAGAGAAGAACGUGUGUGAGAGUGGAAAGUUCACACAGUGACGGUAACUUACCAGAAAGGGACGGCUAACUACGUGCCAGCAGCCGCGGUAAUACGUAGGUCCCGAGCGUUGUCCGGAUUUAUUGGGCGUAAAGCGAGCGCAGGCGGUUUAAUAAGUCUGAAGCUAAAGGCAGUGGCUUAACCAUUGUUCGCUUUGGAAACUGUUAGACUUGAGUGCAGAAGGGGAGAGUGGAAUUCCAUGUGUAGCGGUGAAAUGCGUAGAUAUAUGGAGGAACACCGGUGGCGAAAGCGGCUCUCUGGUCUGUAACUGACGCUGAGGCUCGAAAGCGUGGGGAGCAAACAGGAUUAGAUACCCUGGUAGUCCACGCCGUAAACGAUGAGUGCUAGGUGUUAGGCCCUUUCCGGGGCUUAGUGCCGCAGCUAACGCAUUAAGCACUCCGCCUGGGGAGUACGACCGCAAGGUUGAAACUCAAAGGAAUUGACGGA
rnacentral:rRNA from 1 species